rnacentral:rRNA from 1 species
GACGAACGCUGGCGGCGUGCCUAAUACAUGCAAGUAGUACGCAGUUGCGAACGGGUUAGUAACGCGUAGGUAACUACCUAUUAGAGGGGGAUAACUAUUGGAAACGAUAGUUAAUACCGCAUACUAGUAGAUCGACCUUCUUUGUAUUAGGUAGUAGGUACGGUAAUGGCCUACCUAGGAAACGAUACAUAGCCGACCUGAGAGGAGGAGGGGCCACACUGGGACUGAGGCACGGCCCAGACUACUACGGGAGGCAGCAGUAGGGAAGCUUCGGCAAUGGGGGGAACCCUGACCGAGCAACGCCGCGUGAGUGAAGAAGGUUUUCGGAUCGUAAAGCUCUGUUGUUAAGGAAGCGGUACUUAGCCAGAAAGGGACGGCUAACUACGUGCCAGCAGCCGCGGUAAUUC